rnacentral:rRNA from 1 species
AAUACCGGCGGCUCGAGUGGUGGCCACUUUAUUGGGCUUAAAGCGUUCGUAGCUGGGUUAUUAAGUCCCUUGGGAAAUCCGACAGCUUAACUGUCGGGCGUCUAAGAGAUACUGGUAAUCGUUGGAACCGGGAGAGGUGAGGGGUACUUCGGGGGUAGGAGUGAAAUCCUGUAAUCCUCGAGGGACCACCUGUGGCGAAGGCGCCUCACCAGAACGGCUUCGACAGUGAGGGACGAAAGCUGGGGGAGCAAACCGGAUUAGAUACCCGGGUAGUCCCAGCCGUAAACAAUGUGCGUUAGGUGUAUCGGUGACCACGAGUCACCGAGGUGCCGAAGGGAAACCGUGAAACGUACCGCCUGGGAAGUACGGUCGCAAGGCUGAAACUUAAAGGAAUUGGCGGGGGAGCACCACAACAGGUGGAGCCUGCCGGUUUAAUUGGACUCAACGCCGGAAAUCUCACCGGAUAAGACAGCAGAAUGAUUGCCGGGCUGAAGACUCUGCAUGACUAGCUGAGAGGAGGUGCAUGG